CCUACGGGAGGCAGCAGUGGGGAAUAUUGGGCAAUGGGCGCAAGCCUGACCCAGCAACGCCGCGUGAAUGAUGAAGGUUUUCGGAUUGUAAAGUUCUUUUCAAAGGGAAGAAGAAAGCGACGGUACCUUAGGAAUAAGCCUCGGCUAACUACGUGCCAGCAGCCGCGGUAAUACGUAGGAGGCAAGCGUUAUCCGGAAUGACUGGGGGUAAGGGGUGCGUAGGUGGUUUGACAAGUUAGGAGGGAAACCCCGGCGCUCAACGUCGGAACUACUACUAAAACGGGUGGACUUGAGUGCAGGGAGGAUAAUGGAAAUUCGUGGGGAGGGGGGAAAAUGGG
rnacentral:rRNA from 1 species